AGAGUUUGAUCAUGGCUCAGGAUGAACGCUAGCGGCAGGCUUAACACAUGCAAGUCGAGGGGCAGCAUUGAAGUAGCAAUACUUCAGAUGGCGACCGGCGCACGGGUGCGUAACGCGUAUGCAACCUACCUUAUACAGGGAGAUAACCUUUCGAAAGAGAGACUAAAAUCCCAUAGUAUUGUUUUGGGGCAUCCCAGAAUAAUUAAAUCUUUGGAGGUAUAAGAUGGGCAUGCGUAGCAUUAGUUAGAUGGUGAGGUAACGGCUCACCAUGACUACGAUGCUUAGGGGUUCUGAGAGGAAGGUCCCCCACACUGGUACUGAGACACGGACCAGACUCCUACGGGAGGCAGCAGUGAGGAAUAUUGGUCAAUGGUCGGAAGACUGAACCAGCCAUGCCGCGUGCAGGAAGGAUGUCUUAUGGAUUGUAAACUGCUUUUGUAUGGGAAUAAUAAUAACUUUGCGAAGUUAGAUGCAGGUACCAUACGAAUAAGGAUCGGCUAACUCCGUGCCAGCAGCCGCGGUAAUACGGAGGAUUCGAGCGUUAUCCGGAUUUAUUGGGUUUAAAGGGUGCGUAGGUGGCACCAUAAGUCGAUGGUGAAAGACUUGAGCUUAACUCAGGCGAGCCGUUGAUACUGUGGAGCUAGAACAUAGAUGGAGUAGGCGGAAUGAAUCAUGUAGCGGUGACAUGCAUAGAUAUGAUUCAGAACACCGAUCGCGAAGGCAGCUUACUAAGCUAUAGUUGACGCUGAGGCACGAAAGCGUGGGGAUCGAACAGGAUUAGAUACCCUGGUAGUCCACGCUGUAAACGAUGAUAACUAGAUGUUGGCGAUAGACUGUCAGUGUCGAAGCGAAAGUGAUAAGUUAUCCACCUGGGGAGUACGAUCGCAAGGUUGAAACUCAAAGGAAUUGACGGGGGCCCGCACAAGCGGAGGAGCAUGUGGUUUAAUUCGAUGAUACGCGAGGAACCUUACCUGGACUUGAACGUAUUAGGCAUAAUUUGGAAACAGAUUAGUUAGCAAUAACCUAAUACGAGGUGCUGCAUGGUUGUCGUCAGCUCGUGCCGUGAGGUGUCAGGUUAAGUCCUAUAACGAGCGCAACCCCUACACAUAGUUACCAACACGUUAAGGUGGGGACUCUAUGUGGACUGCCGGCGCAAGCUGAGAGGAAGGUGGGGAUGACGUCAAAUCAGCACGGCCCUUACGUCCAGGGCGACACACGUGCUACAAUGGCAGGUACAGAGGGCAGCUACACAGCGAUGUGAUGCGAAUCUCGAAAGCCUGUCUCAGUUCGGAUUGGAGUCUGCAACCCGACUCCAUGAAGUUGGAUUCGCUAGUAAUCGCAGAUCAGCCAUGCUGCGGUGAAUACGUUCCCGGGCCUUGUACACACCGCCCGUCAAGCCAUGGAAGUUAGGGGUGCCUGAAGUUCGUGACCGCGAGGAGCGACCUAGGGCAAAACUAGUAACUGGGGCUAAGUCGUAACAAGGUAGCCGUACCGGAAGGUGUGGCUGGAACACCUCCUU
rnacentral:rRNA from 1 species